GACGAACGCUGGCGGCGUGCUUAACACAUGCAAGUCGAACGGAAAGGCCCUGCUUUUGUGGGGUGCUCGAGUGGCGAACGGGUGAGUAACACGUGAGUAACCUGCCCUUGACUUUGGGAUAACUUCAGGAAACUGGGGCUAAUACCGGAUAGGAGCUCCUGCUGCAUGGUGGGGGUUGGAAAGUUUCGGCGGUUGGGGAUGGACUCGCGGCUUAUCAGCUUGUUGGUGGGGUAGUGGCUUACCAAGGCUUUGACGGGUAGCCGGCCUGAGAGGGUGGCCGGCCACAUUGGGACUGAGAUACGGCCCAGACUCCUACGGGAGGCAGCAGUGGGGAAUAUUGCACAAUGGGCGGAAGCCUGAUGCAGCAACGCCGCGUGCGGGAUGACGGCCUUCGGGUUGUAAACCGCUUUCGCCUGUGACGAAGCGUGAGUGACGGUAAUGGGUAAAGAAGCACCAGCUAACUACGUG
rnacentral:rRNA from 1 species